UCCGUAGGUGAACCUGCAGAUGGAUCAUUUCGAUGAAAACCUUUUUUUCUUGAGGUGUGGCUCGCACCUGUCUAACUAAACUUGAGCUACCUUUUUUCAACACGGUUGCAUCGGUUGGCCUGUCAAACAGUGCGGCGGCGUGAAUUUUCACGUCUGCUUUGGCUGGGCGACGGACCGACACUUAAUCAACACUUUUGAUAAUCUAGGAUUUGAAUGAUAAAAGUUCAUUUUUACAAUGAAAUCGACUGGUAAUGCGGUCGUCUAAUUUUUUAAAAACAACUUUUGGCAACGGAUCUCUUGGUUCUCCCAUCGAUGAAGAACGCAGCGAAUUGCGAUAAGUAAUGUGAAUUGCAGAACCGUGAGUCAUCAGAUUUUUGAACGCAUCUGGCGCCGGCUGGGUCUCCAGUCGGCAUGCUUGUUUCAGUGUCUUGUUUUCUCCUCACCCAAAUCUUAAUGCGAGAGAUGCCCUUCUCUUGCCAAGCAAGAAAGCACUCUGCGCUCUGCGAGUGGCUUCGACUCGAUCGAGGGCCGCACUCAAUGCAGCAGUCACAUUGCUCACAAUGGUGGAACUCAUUGGAGGAGGCAGGAGGGCAGGUGCAGCAGGCCGGCUGGCCAGGUGGCUUAGGUCACGGGCAAACUUUCUUUGCAUCUGAAAUCAAGCAGGACCACCCGCUGAACUUAAGCAUAUCAAUAAGCGGAGG
rnacentral:rRNA from 1 species